CUGUUAUCUAGACUCAAUAAGUCGAUAACUGAGCGAUCUAUUUUUAUUCAAGAACAUGUGGCCGUGUCUCAAUUCAGGGGCUGCACCCUUCGGAGUACGGAGGACCCAGCCCACGUAGACCGGGUAGGCUCAGACUGGACCGAGCGGCCUACGAAAUGAGACGGGCUAGCUUACGGAGGGCUUCGUAUUUACGUCACGUGAUACGCGCUGUUCGGUUGCGCUGCUCCAGCAGCCUGCUAGCAAAUUAGCUUACAAGAUAACUCAGCUGAAAAGUAUCCAGAAACUUUACUUUUACAUUUUUUGGAGAUCACCGUCGGCGAUGAAUUAAAGAGAACCAUGGCCAGAUGAUGUCCCACUGACCCCAGGUCAGCACCUCCAGGUCCAGCACCACCGUGCCCCCGCUCUGCUGAAAUAUACAAUUAAACAUUUCUACGACCUAUUUUUUUUAUUAAUACAAUUAAACUGAAGACAGUUUAAUGACCUAGAGAUAUCCUAUUAUUCCACUGCUUAUGUACACAUGUUGUAAAUAAUGGUUAAAACCUCAGUAAAUGAAAUAAACAAUGUGUUUAACAAUUA